AUUGAACGCUGGCGGCAUGCCUUACACAUGCAAGUCGAACGGCAGCACGGGAACAAUCCUGGUGGCGAGUGGCGAACGGGUGAGUAAAGUAUCGGAACGUGCCCAGUCGUGGGGGAUAACGUAGCGAAAGUUACGCUAAUACCGCAUACGAUCUAUGGAUGAAAGCGGGGGAUCGCAAGACCUCGCGCGAUUGGAGCGGCCGAUAUCAGAUUAGGUAGUUGGUGGGGUAAAGGCUCACCAAGCCGACGAUCUGUAGCUGGUCUGAGAGGACGACCAGCCACACUGGGACUGAGACACGGCCCAGACUCCUAAGGGGGGCAGCAGUGGGGAAGUUUGGACAAUGGGCGAAAGCCUGAUCCAGCCAUGCCGCGUGCAGGAUGAAGGCCUUCGGGCUGUAAACUGCUUUUGUACGGAACGAAAAGGUUUGGGCUAAUAAGCUGAGCUCAUGACGGUACCGUAAGAAUAAGCACCGGCUAACUACGUGCCAGCAGCCGCCGUAA
rnacentral:rRNA from 1 species